AGUCGCGGUUAAACCAAGAUGAUCAAAUUAUAUAUUUACGGUUAAAAAACAGUUAAAUAAGAUUUAUGUCUACUAAAUGUUUAUAAAAAGGUAAAAUUUGGCCAUAAACAAAAAAUUCAAUUUAGACUUAAAUAUUGAGGCUGUGAAAACCUUGAGGGAAACUGGGAUUAGAUACCCCAUUAUUCAAGGAUAUAAAGUAAUUUCAAUUUACCAGAGUACUAUGAAUUAAGUAUUUAAAACUUAAAGGGCUUGGCGGUGUUUUAGACCUCUUAGGGGAACCUGUCUCGUAAUCGACAAUCCGCGAUAAACCUAACCUUUUUUUGCACUACAGUCUGUAUACCGUCGUCGUCAGGUAACUUUUCAGAAAAAAGAAGUUAGCAAAGGAAUUUAGAUAAAUUUACACGUCAGAUCGAGGUGCAGCCAAUAGAAAGGAGAGGAUGGGUUACAAUUAUGAAAUUAUAACUACGAAAAGUUUUUUGAAACAAAAAUAAGAAGGAGGACUUGAAAGUAAGAUGAAGUAUAUAAACAUUCUGAAUAAGGCUCUGAAACGUGCACACAUCGCCC
rnacentral:rRNA from 1 species